AAUGCAAACACUGAACUUUCAAACAUAAAAUGAAUGUGAAUGUCCCUGAAUGUGUAAGCGUGCAUAAGUUGACCCUAGCGUCAAACACCCAAAUACAUGUAGGCCUAGGCUAAUUUGUGGUUCAGCGAAGCAUUUUUAAUUUUUGUUUCCGCUACUGUUAACAGUAUAUAUUAUAACCGAUUCAUUUCAUAUUAUUUGCAUUAACACGUGGACACCACUUAUUUUAGCAAUGCUUGUUUUAACGUAAGGGGUAAUUCAGGUCUAAGUGUGCAUACAAUUAUUUUAAUGCAUGACAUGGACAUGAAGAACCACCCGAAGCACAGAUGUGCACGUAUUACCCAGCUUAUAUCAUGGUCUUGCCACAAUUAAUAAGGUUAAAACUGUCAUUGAUUUUGGAAAGACACUGUGAGUAUCUAUGCAAACUUACUGGAACUACAUGUGCAGUAAAAGGUUUUAAUGCACACCACCUUCCAGCCAAUAAGAAUCCAGUAUUGAGACUGACCAUGGUAUAAUACAGUAUGAUCAAUUUUUUGUUGUGACCGCCCCAGAUUUAUUGUCGUAUAAUAAUUGAAUUUAUGUAUUUUUAUAGAAACAGCAGAGAAAUGUCAUAUACAUUCAUAGUACACUAUAUAGCCCACUGUAUGUACAAUAUGAUCUUAUUCCACUCUUAAAUAACAGGGUGCACCACUUCAGCUUCAAGGGAAUGACUGUGGAAUAUUCAUGUUAAUGGUAAGUGUUCAUAAUUGCUAUACCAUUGUUUCUGAUCUUAUAUUAACAAAUGCAGUGUUUAGCACACACACAGUUUUGAUUUUGUAUUUUAGUACGCCAUGUAUGUGACUCUUGGAAAGCCCUUCGAUUUUUCGGCAUUUGACAUGCCUGGAAGAGGAGGUGGUGAUGCCAUCAGUUACUACAGGCAUUUCCUCUGGCAAGGUAUGAUAUUGCUAACUAUACUUUGAAUGAAGAUAUUCAUUGUGUGCAUUUCUCAGUAUACAGGUCAUUUGUUAUAAAUAAUGCACAGUGGAAUAGAGUGUACUGUUUUGUCACUUUUUCUAUAAAGCCAACAGUCAGUCACCAAACCAAUGAUCCAACUGGAUCUAAACGUUAUGGAGGUCACCCCGUCUGUGCCAGACGUCAUGGAGAUCACCCCAGCUACGAGAAUCCAUAAAGGACUCGGCUGUGAUGAAACAGAUUCUGCUCACUGUGACUGGGUGGAGGAGUUCCGAACCCACUUUGCUGGGAAAGUUCACCUACCACAGGUCACAAAAAUGAAAGAGGAUGAUCAUUGACCAAUAACUGUCUGUCUGUCUGAAAAAAAAAAAUCUUGUUGUUCAUUCUCUCCUUUGCUUACUCCAGCUUUAAUCCUAGUAGCAUGGCCUUGUAAACUAACGGUACUGUUUAGCGUGUUGACAAAAUGUUUAUACUGUAUGCUCUCCUACUUGUAAGUCGCUUUGGAUAAAAGCGUCUGCCAAAUGAAUAAAUGCAAAUGUAAAUUAUUCCUUGUUGGCUAUAACAAUGCAGGACCUAUUUAUUGACACCAUUUUCUAUGAUGGUGGCAUGGGUCAGGAUAAAAUCCAGGCUCCCUUCCUUUUCACCUUUGAGAGAAUGCAGGACAUGGAGUUUUUCAUGCAGGAAGUAUAUGAUAAAAUAAAUAUUUGUGUGUCUUGCCUGCACAAUGCUGACCUUUAAAAAGCUAACUGGUGGUGUAGAUCUGGGUUAAUUCUGUAAAUGGUUUUGUAUUGUCAUGGAGUUUUAGGUGUUGUAAAAUGUCUUGUUUUUGACCAAUUAAAGUUUCGUG